rnacentral:rRNA from 1 species
UACGUAGGGGCCUAGCGUUGUCCGGAUUUAUUGGGCGUAAAGAGCUCGUAGGCGGCACGGUUAGUCAGGUGUGAAAUCUCCACGCUCAACGUGGAGGGGUCACCUGAUACUGCCGAGCUUGAGUCCGGUAGGGGAGUGUGGAAUUCCCGGUGUAGCGGUGAAAUGCGCAGAUAUCGGGAGGAACACCGGCGGCGAAGGCGGCUACCUGGACCGGUACUGACGCUGAGGCGCGAAAGCUAGGGUAGCAAACAGG